rnacentral:rRNA from 1 species
UUGAAAGGGAAACGAUUGAAGUNAGUCGUACAAGGGGGAAAUAANUUUGAGUGGGGGUUUUGGAGUUUUGAAGAGUUUNAAANNUUUGAGAUUNAAAAAUUUNGUUUUUUGGUGUACUCUCUCGUGGGUAGGUUAANUNAUUUUGAUNACAUAAAANGAUUGGAGGAAUGUAGUUNGANNUGUAUUGAAGUGUUAUAGCUUUGGUAAAUGUGAUGAUUAGGACCAGGAUUGAACGGAAACCUUUUUGGGUUAUCCGGCUGAUCUCUGAAAGUUACUUAGGUGUCGAAAGCUGGUUAUGGUNUUGAGGUAUUACGGUAAAAAGGUUAGAACGUGAUUACAUUCGUUAAGGAUGUUGACGUA